rnacentral:rRNA from 1 species
CAGCAGCCGCGGUAAAACGUAGGUGGCAAGCGUUGUCCGGAAUUAUUGGGCGUAAAGGGCUCGCAGGCGGUUUCUUAAGUCUGAUGUGAAAGCCCCCGGCUCAACCGGGGAAGGUCAUUGGAAACUGGGAAACUUGAGUGCAGAAGAGGAGGGUGGAAUUCCACAUGUAGCGGUGAAAUGCGUAGAGAUGUGGAGGAACACCAGUGGCGAAGGCGACUCUCUGGUCUGUAACUGACGCUGAUGAGCGAAAGCGUGGGGAGCGAACAGGAUUAGAUACCCGCGUAGUCCCUGUCUCUUAUAU